UGUUGAAACACCAGUUCCUGUACAAUCACUGAAUUAAGCAAUGCUGAGACUAGUCAGUACCUUGAUGGGUGACCACUUGGGAAUACCAGGUGCUGUAAG